rnacentral:sRNA from 1 species
UCGAGCGUAGCGAGAAAGCGUUGCCGCAGGCAACGACCCGAAGGGCGAGGCGCAACGCGCCGAGUAAUCCUUCCCCCACCACCA